rnacentral:rRNA from 1 species
CACGUAGUUAGCCGUGGCUUAUUCAUUCGGUACCGUCACUUUCUUCGUCCCGAAUAAAAGAAGUUUACAACCCGAGGGCCUUCUUCCUUCACGCGGCGUUGCUGGGUCAGGCUUGCGCCCAUUGCCCAAUAUUCCCCACUGCUGCCUCCCGUAGGAGUCUGGGCCGUGUCUCAGUCCCAAUGUGGCCGGCCAACCUCUCAGUCCGGCUACUGAUCGUCGACUUGGUGGGCCGUUACCCCGCCAACUAUCUAAUCAGACGCGAGGCCAUCUCAGAGCGAUAAAUCUUUGGCAGUCAGAGUCAUGCGACCCAACUGCAUUAUGCGGUAUUAGCAGCUAUUUCUAACUGUUAUUCCCCACUCCAAGGCAGGUUCCUCACGCGUUACUCACCCGUCCGCCACUAGGUAUUCCUAUCUGUUGGCCGAAGCCUCCUUCAAGGGUACCCCGUUCGACUUGCAUGUGUUAAGCACGCCGCCAGCGUUCAUCCUGAGCCAGGAUCAAACUCU